CGGCAGGCUUAACACAUGCAAGUCGAACGGUCUCUUCGGAGGCAGUGGCAGACGGAUGAGUAACGCGUGGGAAUCUACCUAGUUCUACGGAACAACAGUUGGAAACGACUGCUAAUACCGUAUACGCCCUACGGGGGAAAGAUUUAUCGGAAUUAGAUGAGCCCGCGUAAGAUUAGCUAGUUGGUGGGGUAAUGGCCUACCAAGGCGACGAUCUUUAGCUGGUCUGAGAGGAUGAUCAGCCACACUGGGACUGAGACACGGCCCAGACUCC
rnacentral:rRNA from 1 species